CCGCGCGAAGGUAGCGUAAUCACUUGUUUUUUAAAUAAAGACUAGUAUGAACGGCCACACGAGGACUUAACUGUCUCCUUUGUCCAAUCAGUGAAACUGAUCUCCUCGUGCAGAAGCGAAGAUGUUCCCAUAAGACGAGAAGACCCUAUGGAGCUUUAAACUUUAUAUCAAUUAUCUUCUUUAUCCCUCUAAGGAACUAACACCCAACUAAAUUCCCUUGAUAAAAGUUUUGGGUUGGGGCGACCAUGGAGAAAAAGAAAUCCUCCCUGAUGACAACCUAACCAAGAGCCACAGCUCUAAGUAUUAAGACACUUAACUCCUAUUGACCCAUUUUAUGAUCAACGAACCAAGUUACCCUAGGGAUAACAGCGCAAUCCAUUUCAAGAGUUCCUAUCGACAAAUGGGUUU
rnacentral:rRNA from 1 species